AUUGAACGCUGGCGGCAUGCCUUACACAUGCAAGUCGAACGGUAACAGGUCUUCGGAUGCUGACGAGUGGCGAACGGGUGAGUAAUACAUCGGAACGUGCCCGAUCGUGGGGGAUAACGAAGCGAAAGCUUUGCUAAUACCGCAUACGAUCUACGGAUGAAAGCAGGGGACCGCAAGGCCUUGCGCGAACGGAGCGGCCGAUGGCAGAUUAGGUAGUUGGUGGGAUAAAAGCUUACCAAGCCGACGAUCUGUAGCUGGUCUGAGAGGACGACCAGCCACACUGGGACUGAGACACGGCCCAGACUCCUACGGGAGGCAGCAGUGGGGAAUUUUGGACAAUGGGCGAAAGCCUGAUUCAGCCAUGCCGCGUGCAGGAUGAAGGCCUUCGGGUUGUAAACUGCUUUUGUACGGAACGAAAAGACUCUGGUUAAUACCUGGGGUCCAUGACGGUACCAUAAGAAUAAGCACCGGCUAACUACGUGCCAGCCGCCGCCGUAA
rnacentral:rRNA from 1 species